UAGGUGAUGGUGGGAGUAGUGAUAUGGUUGUGUGAAAGAUUAAGGGAUGGAUGUGUGAGUAGAAGGGGGAAUAAGGUGAAAGGGGGAAUGGGUGAUUAAAUGAGUUAUGGUUGGUUKRAUYUUAGGGAGAGUUAGAUGGAUAAGUGUGGUAAUUGUARAGGUAAUAGAUGAAGGUAUGGGGGGAGGAGUGAUGGAAGGGGGGGUUUUAUUAGAAGAAAAGGAAUGGGUGGGGUGGUGGGUGGGUUAGUGAUAAUAAGUUAGGGAAUGGGAUGGGGUUGGGGGGGGGAUGGUUGAUUGAAAUUUGUGGGGUAUGAAGUUUGGAUGGUAGGAUAGUGGGGUAGGAUGGUGGGAAGGGGUAAGGGGGAAUUAGGGUUGGAUUGGGGAGAGGGAGGGUGAGAAAGGGGUAGGAGAUGGAAGGAAGGGAGGAGGGGGGGAAAUUAGGGAAUGGGGAGAGGGGGAGGUAGUGAGAAUAAAUAGUGAUACGGGGGUGUUUGGAGUGUGGUAAUUGGAAUGAGUAGGAUGUAAAGGGAGUAAGGAGGAAGAAUUGGAGGGGAAGUGUGUGGGAGGAGGGGGGGUAAUUGGAGGUGGAAUAGGGUAUAU
rnacentral:rRNA from 1 species